GCCGCUUAGUGGAGGUUUUUUCUGUGGUUGCUGGCCGCUUUGUGGAGGUUUUUCUGUGGAGGUUUGUUCUGUGGUUGAUGGCCGCUUAGUGGAGGUUUUUUCAGUGGUUGAUGGCCGCUUGCUGCAAACACGAUCG